UUGGGCGUANGGGCUCGCAGGCGGUUUCUUAAGUCUGAUGUGAAAGCCCCCGGCUCNNNNNGGNNGGGUCAUUGGAAACUGGGGAACUUGAGUGCAGAAGAGGAGAGUGGAAUUCCACGUGUAGCGGUGAAAUGCGUAGAGAUGUGGAGGAACACCAGUGGCGAAGGCGACUCUCUGGUCUGUAACUGACGCUGAGGAGCGAAAGCGUGGGGAGCGAACAGGAUUAGAUACCCUGGUAGUCCACGCCGUAAACGAUGAGUGCUAAGUGUUAGGGGGUUUCCGCCCCUUAGUGCUGCAGCUAACGCAUUAAGCACUCCGCCUGGGGAGUACGGUCGCAAGACUGAAACUCAAAGGAAUUGACGGGGGCCCGCACAAGCGGUGGAGCAUGUGGUUUAAUUCGAAGCAACGCGAAGAACCUUACCAGGUCUUGACAUCCUCUGACAAUCCUAGAGAUAGGACGUCCCCUUCGGGGGCAGAGUGACAGGUGGUGCAUGGUUGUCGUCAGCUCGUGUCGUGAGAUGUUGGGUUAAGUCCCGCAACGAGCGCAACCCUUGAUCUUAGUUGCCAGCAUUCAGUUGGGCACUCUAAGGUGACUGCCGGUGACAAACCGGAGGAAGGUGGGGAUGACGUCAAAUCAUCAUGCCCCUUAUGACCUGGGCUACACACGUGCUACAAUGGACAGAACAAAGGGCAGCGAAACCGCGAGGUUAAGCCAAUCCCACAAAUCUGUUCUCAGUUCGGAUCGCAGUCUGCAACUCGACUGCGUGAAGCUGG
rnacentral:rRNA from 2 species